rnacentral:lncRNA from 1 species
GCUCACCACGCGCAGCAGCGAGCACCAAGCAGAGCAGGGGAGAGAGCAGAGCGCCAGCAGCCGUCCGAUCCUUCGCCGCAAAAGCAAGAGGCUGAUCCGAUGGCUCUCGCUCUCUCCGGCUCUUCCGCGCUCCGCGCCGCCCUGUCCACGCUGGCCCCGAGGGCCUCGGCCACCAGGGGCUACGCGGCGUCGGCGGCGUACGGGGCCAUGCGGCGGGCGGCUGCGGCCGCGGAGGGCGCCGCCGCGGGGGAGGCCAAGGAGGCCGGGCGCGGCGCCGCCGCCGAGAUCUCGUGGGUCCCCGACCCCGUCACGGGCCACUACCGCCCCGCCAACUGGGCCGCCGCCGCCGACCCCGCCGACCUCCGCGCCGCGCACCUCGCCCGCACCUACGCCAGGGCGUGAGGAGGGCCCCGUUUGCCGCCGUCUGAUAUAACAUACCAAAGGGGAAGGGGUGGUGGGGGUUCGUUUGGCUUGGCGUCGUCGUCGCGCGCGCUCCGGUGACGGCGGCGGGCCGGCAUGGCCGUGGAGGAAGUCCUCGGUUGGUUGGUCGCUGUGCAACUUGACGCCUCAACAUCUCGGCUCGGCCAAAGGGAGAAUGAAGAUACAAUACAAUACAGGAAGAGCGGCCUCCGGUCGCCGUGGUGUGCGUGCGUGUGUGGGCUGGAUGCCCUGUUCUCAGCUAGCGCUCUCUUAUCCUAUCAGAUUCAGAGCAGGGUUUUGCUGAUGUUCUACGUUUUGUUACUCGCUAUCACCAGAAAUAAAAAAGUUCCUU